rnacentral:misc_RNA from 1 species
GUUUUUUUAGAGUGUAGCCGAAGACGAGAGGGUUUUAGGGACCCAAAAAAUUAAAAAAAGAAAGAAACAACAAUAAUGGAUUCUUCGGCUCUCAAUUCCGCUGAAAUGCAGCAAUUCCUUAAUGUAAUCAAAAUUUCUAUUCCUCGCUUGGUUACGUAGUUUUGAUUUUGUUUUCAAUUUCAAUUGUCUUCGAUAUAUUGUUGUUUAGUUAUUGAUAAAUUCAAAGAUUGAGUGCUUGAAUGGAGCGAUUUAAUUGAUUUCUACAUGCAUGGGUAGUUGGUUUUUGCAAUUAUAGGAUCGCAUUUUGAAAUAUUAGUGUAUGCUUUCAGAGUUUUGCUUUAAGUAUAUGAAUGCAAUGGCAGUUAAGUUUUUAAUUUGACGCAAUAUUUAACUCACGAGCUCAAUAUUUGGUUAACAUGGAAUCUAUCUGUAAUUUCGCCCUGUCCUAGAUUCAGCUGUACUAACUAUGAUAAUGGAUGUGUGGUGAUCAAUUCAGAGAUUGGAAAAUGAAUAAAUUCGAUUCUUUUUCUGAUGAAAUUUAGUUUAUCACUUAUAUGGAAUUAUGGAUGAUCUUCUAGAUGGGUUGCUGUUGCCUGCCUUGUGCCUACAUUGCCACUUUGUGUUCUUUUCAUUGUGAGAAAACUUUAUGAUGUGCCUUUACGUUAUUAAGUUUUGGUUUACUCCUUUGUUUAAACAUUAUUUUGGUUAUUGUGGGCUUAGUUGUUAAGAAAGUACUACUAUUUCACCUGUAACGUUUGCAUGUUGAAUUUGAGGUUGGAGUAUUUGCUUAGAGACGGGGAGUCAACUGGGAAAAUUUCACCUAUGGCUGCUAACCUAGCCAAUGAAUCCCACUAAUGACACUAAAUUAAUAAAUUUAAUAUUGUUUUCUCAGAUAGCCCACUAAACAUACUAAUUAUAUUGAAAAUUUUCAAUAUUGUUGUUGUGUCAAAUUUUCAAAUUGAAUUGGAAUUUGGCUAAGUGAUCUUAUUGUCACAAAAAUGAAAGCUUAGUGAUUUUUAAAUAUUAAAUGAAAAUUUAAUCACUUUGAUGAGAUUUAAUGAUAAGUUCAAUGACAGCGGGUGAAAGCAACCUGGAUAAACAUGAAAAAUGUUUAAUGGAAAAGAGCAUCAUUUGUAAUUUAAAUGUUUUAUGGAUGCAGUACUUUGUUCUAGUUGUUUUGGCAUGCUUGACCUAGAAUUUUAAUACCUUCAGUUCACUAUUAUGCAAUUUUCAUGUCCCAAUGACUUUGUUGUUAUGCAGCAAGAAAAGGAAAAGGCCAUGGUUAAUGAGAUGGUGGCUAAACUUACUAGUGUGUGCUGGGAUAAAUGCAUCACUAGCGCGCCAGGGAGCAAGUUCAGCUCAAGUGAAUCAGCUUGCCUAUCCAAUUGUGCCCAGCGUUAUAUGGAUAUGAGCCUCAUCAUAAUGAAGCGCUUUCAGUCCAUGCACUGAGAGUUUGCGCAUCAUGUCAUUUACAAGAUGUUACUGCUUGUUAGCCACUAUAUGCAGUUAACUGUAUCAGUAACAAGAUGUUAACUUGUUUUUUUGAAACUAAAUUCCAUCUUAUUUGAUGCUGCAUGAUUUGCAUCGUUGGGCAUUGCAAUUUUUUCCCCCCUCUAAAUGAUCCUAAACAUUGACAAUUAUGAAUUCUACAUGUCUGAUUGGUUGUGGCAACGCAGAUACAUUUAAUAUCACUAGUAUGCCAAUUGUUUACAUGCU